UGGGGAAUAUUGGACAAUGGGCGCAAGCCUGAUCCAGCCAUGCCGCGUGAGUGAUGAAGGCCCUAGGGUUGUAAAGCUCUUUCACCGGUGAAGAUAAUGACGGUAACCGGAGAAGAAGCCCCGGCUAACUUCGUGCCAGCAGCCGCGGUAAUACGAAGGGGGCUAGCGUUGUUCGGAUUUACUGGGCGUAAAGCGCACGUAGGCGGACUAUUAAGUCAGGGGUGAAAUCCCGGGGCUCAACCCCGGAACUGCCUUUGAUACUGGUAGUCUUGAGUUCGAGAGAGGUGAGUGGAAUUCCGAGUGUAGAGGUGAAAUGCGUAGAUAUUCGGAGGAACACCAGUGGCGAAGGCGGCUCACUGGCUCGAUACUGACGCUGAGGUGCGAAAGCGUGGGGAGCAAACAGG
rnacentral:rRNA from 1 species